rnacentral:rRNA from 1 species
GACGAACGCUGGCGGCGUGCUUAACACAUGCAAGUCGAGCGGAAAGGCCCUUCGGGGUACUCGAGCGGCGAACGGGUGAGUAACACGUGAGUAACCUGCCCCAGACUUUGGGAUAACCCUCGGAAACGGGGGCUAAUACCGGAUACGACACAGCUUCGCAUGGGGUCUGUGUGGAAAGUUUUUCGGUUUGGGAUGGGCUCGCGGCCUAUCAGCUUGUUGGUGGGGUGAUGGCCUACCAAGGCGACGACGGGUAGCCGGCCUGAGAGGGCGACCGGCCACACUGGGACUGAGACACGGCGCAGACUCCUACGGGAGGCAGCAGUGGGGAAUAUUGCACAAUGGGCGGAAGCCUGAGGCAGCGACGCCGCGUGAGGGAUGACGGCCUUCGGGUUGUAAACCUCUUUCAGCAGGGACGAAGCGUAAGUGACGGUACCUGCAGAAGAAGCGCCGGCCAACUACGUG